CGUUUCCCCGGGAAACAUAAUUAUCUACUUAUCUGCUUCAGAGGUAAAAUCGUCACUUUAACAAAAGUGGAGAGGGGCAGGGGGGGUAUAGUAUAAUAUGUCCACCAGUCUCUCUUUGAUUUAUAAUCUCAUCUCUGAGACUCUGACCAAAAGCGUGUCACAUUUCUAACAAAGGUAAAAUGUUACCAAUAUGCGAGCAAGGGUCCAAGUAUACUUCAUGCAAAUGUGUAACCGGACUAGUAAAUGCAUCCUUAGAAGGAAGAGUGACCAAUGGCUUUUUGGAAGUUGGCUCUGGAUGAUCUACAGUGUAGAUUCUACACGAGAUGUGGACGAAUUUUGCAGCAGCUUAAUAAUGUCCACCAUUGGGAUCUCUCGUUUGUGACAUGAGGCUCUUUUGUAAUAGGAACAGAAUCUUGUGCCUGAGGUGGUAAUAAGCACCUCUUCUCCUUGUGACCAAGUGCACCGUACCUUUCACAUGCACUAGGAAUCUAAGAGUACUCAACUUCUACCAAAUAGAUAUUAACUUGCUUGUCAUCAAGUGCAAUGAACUUCGAAAAUGGUAUAUCCAAUUCCACCUGAACUAGUAUUUUUUGCUUCUCUCAUGUUUGUUGGAUCUAAACGGGGCUUGUGUGUAAGCAUAGGCUCUUCCAAACCCGAUGCUAUGUGGCUGAUUCCUAAUCUAAAGAAGCAAGAAGCAAGAAUCUUGAAUAUUCUUUAGAAUUUUUUUUUUUUUGAAUUGAAUGUUAAAUUUAAUUCAAAAGAAAAAACCUUAUUACAACUAUGUGUGUCCUUUCCUAAUUUUAUAUACACAUUUGGGAAUUUAAACAAAAAGAAACUCUUUCUUCAACUCAUUCUACCUCCUCCACCAUUGUCAACCUUCUCAAUUCUACCUAGCUCUCACUCCUACUAGGCAGCCAGCUCUCACUCCUACUGGAUAGUCAGCUCUCACUCCUACUGGAUAGCUAACUCUUACUGCAGUCCUAUCUUGUAGAAAACCAAAAUUACAUCCCAUUUCCAAUUACUUUAUCUCCCUUCCUCUGUAUCAAUGUGAGUUUGUUCCUCAUAUUUUUAUCAAGCAAUUUGAUCAACAAUUCUGCUGGCGCAGUAGCCUCCCGAUGCCUUUGUCUAUUACGCUCUCGCCAUAACAUAUAGACUGUAGCUUGAAACAUAUAUUUUACGAGGAAACUCUGCAUCUUACAUCCCAUUGAGCCUCUCAUGAGUCUUUUUAUUUCCUCCCAUCUCACCGUAAAUUGCCCCCUCAAGAUACCCUUCAUUAGAGCUUCCCAUACCCGAGUAGAGUAACUGCACUCAAAGAAUAAAUGUUCAAGAGUUUCCAAUGGCGCAUUACACAAGAUACAAUCCUCCCUUGCACUACACUGCCAAGCUCUCAUCCUGUCCCCAGUUGCAAGUCUCCCCCUCAUAGCCAACCAUAAGAUAAAUGAGUAUUUAGGGGUUGAGUACUUAAACCACACAAUAUCUGCCCAGUCAAUAAGGAUCUUCCUUUCUCUAAUAAACUCCCAAGUUUCUGUAGAGGAGAAACUUCUCUUGCACACCCCCUUACCAUUUAGCCAUAGCGAAACAUCCUCAUCAUCAACUCUAUUACCUCGACUUUUUUCAAUUUCUUCCUCCACUUUGUUUAGGAGCAAUUUCGAUUAUUCUUUAGAAUUACCCACACCGGCAGGAUUCUAAGGAGUCACAAAGAGUAAACAAUCAUCAACAUGCCACACGCUUCUUUGAAUAACCCCUUUACGAGUAUUUUCAUGGGGAUAUGGAAUAAAUAUGACGAAUUUCCCAACUUUCGGCAGGAAAUUUACAUUUACGACCCCAUAACCUAUUCAAAACUGCAUGGAUAAGACCUCCAUGCGGAUUUGAACACAUAUGAAACUGUCCAACUACAUAUUCUUCUUUGUUCUCCGGUCCUAAACUAAGUACCUUUGCGGGAAUUGUGUCACUUGAGGUGUACCGUCCAGACGAUAAGUUGGUUCAGUAGCACGGAAAAGGUUUCUAGAAAACUGGUUCAUGCAUGCAGCCCAUGAGAAACGAAGACUACCAUCUUCCUUAAGAGCUGGAGGCGGAAUUGUUUUUACCGGUAUUUAAGGCUUUGCUUGCUCAGGAAACAACAUUUGUCCUUUCUUGGUCUUGGGACCAUUUACGAUAGCCUCACCCAUCGUCCAGAGAUAAUUGAGGCAAGGCCAAGUAGGAUCUUGAGUCGUAGCUUGUUUUUCAUCAGUCAACUACGUUGCGAGAGCUAGGUGGUAUGUUUGCAUCAACUCUUGUCGUCGAAGCUUCAAUGGUCGUCUCCAUGGUUGAAACAACUGAGCUUAGAGACGACACAAAAGUUCUGGAGUAGAGCACAGAACUAGCCGGCUAUGAUAUCUCGACGCCGAUUGAGAUCGGGAUAUAAAUGAAAUAUUAAAAUAUUAGCCAAUUUCAAUUUAAAGUUCAUUAAAAAAAAACAGGAGUUGAAGAUUAUAAACAUCGCUUUAGGCCCAAAUCACUUGUAUAUACACACGCAGCUAAGGUUUCAACAUUGCAACACCGUGAAAAGUUUUUGGGAGGAGGCAGAGCGAUGUUUAACGAGAGGAAUAUAUGGAGUCGACGUCGUCCCAGUACUACUCGGCCUGAAAAGUAUAAGAAGCUGCGUGAUAUGGAGCGCGUGCCCGACAAGCCCGAUUUAACAGAAGUUGGAGGAAGGUUAUUAUUAUAUACUUUUAAUAUAUUUUCAUAUAGUAUAUCUCUGUAAAACGCGAUUGAGAAAAUUUCGGCUUUUGAUUUUGAUUCUCAAUUACAGAAAAAGUCAUCACUUGCUACUACCAAUUCCACCAUGCCCUGUCUGGAUGCUCCUUUGGUGAAGAAAAUGUCAUCACUUACUACUACUUCCACCAUGCCUGUCUUGAUGCUCCUUUGAAAAUGUCAUCACCUCACGAUGUCACUACUACUACCACCACCAUGCCUCGGUCGCCAUCAAGGUAUAUAUAUAUACAUUCAUGUUAUCAUCUCUCUAAUAUUGUGCGUCUUAUAUAUCAAUUAAUUAGCAGUAGUUAUGUGGAUUGUUGCCUUGCUCAUAUAUAUAUACGCUGUAAUGUUUUUGCACCUGACACACCGUAGCUGAGCUCAGCUCCGAUCAAGUUUAAAGAUGUGAUUCCUCCAUAAGCGGCAUCGUGAUGAUCAACUCAACCGCAAAGCCUUUAUCCACCACCUAAGUCCGUAUAACUAUAUUAUAUUCCAAUGUUUUAAAACUAUAUUAUAUUCCAUAACUUUUGAGCUUUAUCUGGACUUGAAAAAAUUAAAUGUAGUGUAAACCCUUUUCCUAAGUGAUAUUGAGAAAUCGUUUGCCAUGAUUUAAGUCGUUUUCUUGUAUUACAUUAUAUAAUCUGUUGGCUAUUUUGCAUCGUAAUCAAAACAUAAAGCAAGAUAGGCGGUUCUUCUAAUUAACACAUGGUACAAUGGAAAUGAAGUAAGCUAACCAUCAACAGGACUCAUGAGUAAGUGGUGCUUUUGAAAUGUUUGUAAACAAUACCUACCUACGAUUAAAACAUUCUCAUCACACUAAAUUUUAAAAACUGUUGGCCUAUAAAAUGCAGCUCCUUCUUGCACUGUUUAAUGGCAAUUCUACUAUCCAGCUCUGAAGGAAGGAGGUAUGUACCUGAGAAGCCCACCAAAGGUCCUAGGCAACAAUUUGCUUGAAGCCCCUGUCUAUUAGCUUCUGUAAUCUAUCUUCUGAUACCAUUACACUCUAGUUCCAGAUCACAAUAUUCUAACAAACUCCAUGUCUAGUUCCCACUAUUUGCUCAUACGGACACCACACACAUACCUAACGCAUAUAUCAGCAUGCAGAUGAGAAUUGGCUAUACACAUAAUAAGAUCAGGAUGCACCAUUUUAGAUGAGAUUCAGUAACUAAAUUCUUGUUUCCAUAUAUGUAUAUAUUUCAUCUGUAAUAUAUAGAGAGAGGCAUCAACUGAGGUUUGCAGAGACCUAAAUUACAUAGACAACAACAAGUAAACCAAGCGUUACUUCGAAAUUUGACAUUACCAAUGAUAAGACCUUCUUGAACAAUGAAGUUUUUUUCUUCCAAUAAAAUGAAAUAUUCAAACUAAAACGCCAAUUCCUCGAAGUCCCUUCAAUGUUCCAACGCGAAUUUGAGGAUAGAGCCAGACAAACCAUUAGACUGUGUCGACUACACCAUUGUCAUGUUUACUAAAUCGUAUCUAGUCAUUUGUAUAAUUGUAAAUGAAAAGAACUAUCAUUAGUAAGCCUUACAAGGGGGCUGGUAAUGUUGAUGUAUCGAUCAUCUGAUGGAUGGAAGGAAUACUCUAAUCAGCUCUUUUGCAGUCACCUUUUUCCUACAAGUAGAACAUUUGUUUUUGCGAGAUAUUGCCAUCUUUAUACAUCCCUUCCAGAAGAUGUGAUGGUUGGCAUCUCCUCAGUAAACGGGCAUGAAACUUUUGCAUUUACUUUUUGAGACAUGAUCUUGUUCUUGAUCAAAACAAGGUAGUCUUCUUGAACAAAAAAAAACGUUGGAUUUGAGGGCGGGUAGGGUUAUGCUUUGUCUCAUCUCGGGAUUAUAGAUUAACAUUUUUCUGCAAACAAUGUAUAAAAACCCAGCCCCGAAGAAUAACCAUUCUGCGUCCUCCCAUCCAUGACAGACCCAAUCCAAGUAUUUUAUGAGCCUUGUACUGAGAUAGAAAAAAAACUUUUUUGUAUAUUGUAGUUAUAUUAGUGUAAAUUUGAAAGCGUAUAUUUUUAGCAAUUCAAGACCAUAUUUUCUUAAAGAAAGUUAUCAAAAAGGAAAAAAGAUACAAUGCAAAUGUAUCACGAGCACCUGUUCUAA